rnacentral:lncRNA from 1 species
AGGCUGGCCAGAGCUGAGUAGUCCUUGAAGACCUUGUAUGGGGAGCAGCAUCAGAGGAUGGCCGAGCUGAGAGGGACCAUAGCGACUGAACGAGUACUGCUCAUGCGGUUAUACCUGCUCCAGGGUAUCGUGGCCUAUCAUCAGAACAAGCGAGCUGAUGCCAGGGUCCUACUGGAGAAAGCGGAGUCUGAACUCAAUUUUCUGAGGGUGGACGAGCGCGCCGUGUGCGCGCUCAUGGAGCUAGGCUGGUCGCGCGGCGCCGCCCG